GACGAACAAAUUUUCCCCAUCUCCGUCCACCAACAGUAGUUGAGCCCGGGUAUGAAAUUGAUCGUGGUUGAUUGGUAUAGACUCGUUAGAGGACGAUUUACACUUUCAGGAAGGAUUCGUGAACCAAGAGGGACUAUAGAAGGAGAUUGAGCUUGGAAAUGUAAGGUUUGAUGAAGAAACCAAAAUCAAAAGUCUGCAAUGUGAGAAUUGAUGAUGG